rfam:Lupinus angustifolius cultivar Tanjil contig_1834, whole genome shotgun sequence.
AAGUGCGAUCAUACCGGCAUUAAUGCAUCGGAUCGCAUGAGAACUCCACAGUCAAGCACGCUUGGGCGAGAGUAGUACUAGCAUUGGUGACCUCCUGGGAAGUUCUGGUGUUGCACCUU